CAGAUGAGAGAUGAUGAAAAGGAAAUAAAUCGUCUGUCAACGUUCGCAUUUCCUCCGUGUGUGAACUCCAUUAACCGAAGGGUGAACACAGAGUUUGACUUAGACUCCUGGGGCAGUGAUGAGAAUGAGAACAUUGGAGGUGAGCAGGUUGAGCCUUCUUUGUGGGAUUCCUGGACCUCACUGCACUCUCACCUCUUCCCCCCGGACCUCAUCAACCUGCCCAGCAUUCCUGCCCAUCAGCCCAGUCCCAGCCCAUGCAGGUACAGCAUGAACUGUGAAAGAAUUAUUAAAUUAACUUCUAAUUUGCU